UUCUUCUUCCCAUCUUUCUGGUACAGGUUGAUCUUAGCAUCAUCUGUCCAAAGAAUGCUGUUCCAGAACUGGGUUGGCUUCUUCAGAUGUUUUUUCUUGACAAAAUCAAACUUAGAUACUGAUACACCUACUGCCUGGAGAGUGUUCUUCGCUGAGUGGAUGUUGUGAAGGUUGUUCUUCACCAUGGAAAGGAUUCUGCGAUCAUCCACUACUGUUGUCUUCGGUGGACGUCCAGGAUGGUCUGUUUCACCUCUAUGGAGAGCUCCUUUGACCGCAUGUUGUGUGUUCACAACAACAGCUUUAAAAUGCAAACGACACACCAGGAAUCAACUCCAGACCUUCUAACUGCUUAAUUGAUGACAGGUUAAUGAGGGAAGAGCCCAUGCAGCCUUGU